rnacentral:rRNA from 1 species
UGGGGAAUAUUGCACAAUGGGCGCAAGCCUGAUGCAGCCAUGCCGCGUGUAUGAAGAAGGCCUUCGGGUUGUAAAGUACUUUCAGUCGGGAGGAAGGUGGUAAGGUUAAUAACCUUGUCAAUUGACGUUACCGACAGAAGAAGCACCGGCUAACUCCGUGCCAGCAGCCGCGGUAAUACGGAGGGUGCAAGCGUUAAUCGGAAUUACUGGGCGUAAAGCGCACGCAGGCGGUUGAUUGAGUCAGAUGUGAAAUCCCCGGGCUUAACCCGGGAAUUGCAUCUGAUACUGGUCAGCUAGAGUCUUGUAGAGGGGGGUAGAAUUCCAUGUGUAGCGGUGAAAUGCGUAGAGAUGUGGAGGAAUACCGGUGGCGAAGGCGGCCCCCUGGACAAAGACUGACGCUCAGGUGCGAAAGCGUGGGGAGCAAACAGG